rnacentral:lncRNA from 1 species
ACAGAAGACGAAGAGCUGGAAUAGAGCUCGCCUCGGCUCUGCUGGCCUUGGCUGCAGCUCUUCCAGAAACCCGGGGCGCCCACAGAAGAAUCUCUUACCUGGCUCUCUCUUCAGGGAUGACAUCAUCGGCUCACACCAGUCUUCCAGGACCACCUUCUGGAUGCCAAGGCUGCUGCUCGAGUACCUGCUGUGCACCUCUACCUCCUGAGCCAAGGAGCACGGAUUCCAGGAACCCACUACCAUACAGAGCAACUCCUUGUGGACCCCCCUGGGAUCAGGACAGCGAGGGACAAGCGACAAAGAGGAUCAUCAGUGGCCAGCUAGUUUCUCUGGGGUUCAAACCUUGAACCAGUGCCCUAGUGAGGGGGCACUGGCCAUGGCCCUUGACCUUUGCUCUGCUUGUGUCUUGAGUCUGAGCCCUUUCCUGUACAUCUGUGCUCGUGUUCAUCUGCUAGUGAACUGGAGUGCUGCCCUCCCCGAGGAGGGUCGUCCCUUGUGACUGAUCAUGCUGUCCUAACAAUGUCCUGAGCAAAAGGGUCCCUUUGGGAACCUCUCAGGAGGGGGACCCGGGUCAGGGGCGACCAGCAUCUUGCUGGCAACUCCGUGGGUGGGGUGGGGUGGGGUGCUUCCUUCUGGAAUGAGCACGUGGCUGACCCCCCAAGGCAUGUCCCCUCCCCCUCCUCCACCCACCUUCUCGGAGAUGUCCCUUUUGGGGUAGUGGGGACAUUAGGAGCAACCUCCUAGGGUUGUUGUGAGAAUUAAAUGAACUGCAGCAGCCUGAGGCAGGGCUGGGCAGAGACCUCAGCACAUGUUUGUUGAAAGGUUUGCAGGUGGAUCUAGUCCUCCCGUUCAUGGCUCAUGUGUCUCAACCAUUCUCUCGCAGACUCCUGCAGCCCCUAUGCCCAGGGCUCUCCUUGCGCCAGAGGUAGGUGGGAAAGAGAACUGGGAGAGCCCGGACUCACUCAUGAGAUUGAACUUAAAUUCACACGGAGGACACUUGGACUCUUGCCACAUUAGCCCCGGCUUCUCGAGGCCUGUCUACACUCGCUGCUUUCCUUCCUCACCUCCAAUUUCCCCUCCAACCCACUGCUUCCUGACUCGCUCUUCUCCAUCGAACGGCUCUCGCUCAGGCCUGUCGCGUCUUCCUGUGCCAUUUGCUGUUGUGCUCAGGUUCCACGAGCUGCCCAUCUCCACAGAAGAGCAGCUGGCAUUGCCCACCGGCCAUGCCGGCUGAAGAAAAGAAGACUGAGGACCCCAGGAUGCCCAGCGCGAGGACCCCAGGAAGCCCAGCGCGAGGACUCCACCCACGACGCCCAGCGCGAGGACUUCACGCACAACACGUUGCAACCCUCCUGGAUUAGGCCUCUACAGCCACGGGGACGCCUUGCACAUUUCCUGUGGGACAUGCUGGACCCAAGACUCUGGACCCUGGCCUCCCCUUGAGUAGAGAGACCCACCUACUGACUGAUGAACUGCGCUGACCCUGGGGUCAGGCAUGUGGCCUUGAUCCCUACCCAUGGACCCUGAGACUUGGGGGGGUGGGAGAAAGGCUGUUGUGUCUUCACUGUUGAGUCUACAUCUGUGAAAUGGGCUCAGGUUCCUACCUCACAGGGCUGUUGUGAGGCAGCCGCAAUGUGCUUAGAAGCAUGGGGCCUAGUGGCUCAUGGUGCUUUCAAUAAAUUUCUUGUUUUAACUAAAGCA